rnacentral:antisense_RNA from 1 species
CUUGAUCGAGCCCAGCCACAGCGGCUGCUCGUCGGUCUUGUCGCGGCCGUAGGUGGCCAGCAGCGCCUGCGCCUC